rnacentral:rRNA from 1 species
UACGAAGGGUGCAAGCGUUACUCGGAAUUACUGGGCGUAAAGCGUGCGUAGGUGGUUUUUUAAGUCCGUUGUGAAAGCCCUGGGCUCAACCUGGGAAUGGCGGUGGAUACUGGAAAGCUAGAGUGCGGUAGAGGGUAGUGGAAUUCCCGGUGUAGCAGUGAAAUGCGUAGAGAUCGGGAGGAACACCAGUGGCGAAGGCGGCUACCUGGACCAGCACUGACACUGAGGCACGAAAGCGUGGGGAGCAAACAGG